rnacentral:misc_RNA from 1 species
AGCUGAGCUAUCCCGACCAUUCGCAAUGCAGCAUCCCAUCCUCAUUUUAUUGGGAUGGCUGGGGUCUAUGUCAAUUAAAGGUCCAACUGGGCAUUACAAAGUUUUCUCCAAGUCCUGUAAUUUCUUGGAUCUUCAAAAAGAAAACUUUGUAAGUUUCAGUAUGAGUAAUGCUAUUGAUUGGGAAUCAUUCACAUAGGGAUUCCUUGCUAAAUUUGGAUGUGUAUUAUAUAUCACAUGUGAUAAGAAAAAGUCAUUUACGCCCAACUACAUUUGUCAAAGAAUCAGAAAGAUAAAAGAAUUUGUAACCGCUAAGAAAAAAAAAGGGGGGGUAGGAUAAAUAUUUUGGAAGUUAAAUAGACUUUUUUUGGGGAUAGAGGGACUUGAACCCUCACGAUUUUAAAAGUCGACGGAUUUUCCUCUUACUAGAAAUUUCAUUGUUGCCGGUAUUGGCAUGUAGAAUGGACUCUAUCUUUAUUCUCGUCCGAUUAAGCAAUUUUUUAAAAGAUCUAUCAGACUAUGGAGUGAAUGCUUUUCUGAAUGAAGAUUCGAUUCUUUCUUCAAUGUGGAAUCAAUUCACAUCAAUUCGUCCAUUUUUCCUAUAAAAAAAAAUAAAGAUAGAGACUUGGUGCAUCAUUAAUCUAUUGAUGUAGUAUUCAAUUCAGUUUAUCCUUCAUCCUUUCUGAAGUUUCGAUGGAAAGAUUCCUUUACCACUGCCACUGCAGCCAACUCCAUUUGUUAGAACAGCUUCCAUUGAGUCUCUGCACCUAUCCUAUCCCUUUUCGCUUUCUGGACCUUUGUAGGAUUUGGCUCAGGAUUGCCCAUCUUUGUUAAUUCCGGGGUUUCUCUGAAUUUGAAAGUUAUCACUUAGUAGGUUUCCAUAC